AAUGCAAAAAUCAUGCUCUACUACCUAAAUACGUACAAUAAUUAUCUAAAUUGACUGUUACCGUACAUAACUAUAGAUUCAUUGAGCAUAAAUUUUAUGCGUAAAUGACAAUAGAAAACAAAUUUCGCAGUCCAAAUAAUUGUAUUUACUCGACUAAAUAGUCUUAAUGAAAUAUGCUAAAAGUAAUUAGAGUUAUGUGAUUUUUGGUGGUGGCGUCGGUUAAUAACUGACAAAGCCCUCCUGGCUGCUGACUCCUCAAUGAUAACACAAAGGACAGCAACAUGUAUAGCAAAUACAUAGUUUAAAACCUUAAUAAUCAUAUGAAACAGAGAAACAUGCCGAGUAAAUAUAACCUUUCCUUGAGAAGAAUAAUAAAGAAAAAAUAAAACCUUUAACUUCGGUUACACGAAAGCUAGAAUUCCCUUCUCAAAUAUAAACUAACUGUGCUCGGUAAGCUUGUAUGGCAGCUAUAUGCUAUAGUAUCUUGAUCUGAAUAAUAUCUUCGAAGAUUGCAAAAAACCUUUAAUUAACCGCGAACAUUUUCGAGCGAUUACUUUUUACAACUUUCUAUAUGGAUUAACUAUUAUUAAUUCAAGUUUGACGAUGCCGUUCCAUUAAGGACUAGUAUUUAUCGAUGGUGUGGAGAAUUUAAUCUAGGUCGUAAGUUACUCCAAAACGAACUUCGUGAAGUACGUUCAAAAUCAGUUGUUCCGGAAACUAUUGAUGCUGUGCGCAAACUAAUAAAAGCUAGAUCGUCAAGUGACCUAUCGCGUGAUUGAAACAACUAAGAGCAUUAGUGAGACUAGCAUAUAUUGCAUGAAAAUUUCAGUCACUCAAGAAACGCCUCGUGACAAUUACUCGAAUUAAAUGUUAACAAAUACAAUAGCGGUGCCUCGUAACACGCCAAACUGAAAAAAAACUGAACUGGUCGCAACCCUACCAUUAAAACAACUCAGCGUAGUAAACUUUGAUUAAUACACAACCGGUUUUGUGCCAAUCGUCCUUCAAGAAAUCAGAAAAACUACCCGCGGAAUAAGGAUUACUCUUCAACACAACAAUACAAGCUCUCACACAUUGACUGGAACUCCUGCAUUUUUGAUUUGAUGAGUCAUCCACCGUACAGUCCUGACUUGGUACCGAAAGACUACCGUACGUAAAAAAUAAACUAAAAGAGAAGGGUCUCUCGACACCUGAAGAGGCAGUUGAUGCAAUUUGGUGAAGAUAUCUCGUCAAAUGAAAAAGUUUUCCACUUCAUUCCGAUAGGGUGGAAUAUUUCAGAUCGACAGACGGACAGAGGAAUGCAUUCAGCUCGUCACGCUCUUCAUUUGCAUUUAUACUUUAUAAGGUAUCUGACGUUUCCUUUUGGGUGUUACAAACAUCGUGGCAAACUAGUGGAUUCGAGUAAAUACAAUUAUAUACCCUGUUGAGUAUAUAAGAAGAAUGUACUCUUAUAUCGGCUGUUCCUUAGUUUACUUUGAGAUUUAUUCCCCUUUUUGCGCUGUACCUCACCUUUGGCAGUCAGUGUAUUCCGUUAUAGGUUUCCGAUAAGUACAUAUUAAUGUUUGCCGUUGUCACUGCAGUCGUAAGGGUAGUUAUCAAGGUGUCAGUUUUUGUUGUUGUUGUAGUUGUUUGCAUUCAUAUUUGGUCUACCGAAGUCAUCCCGAAAAAGUUGGGCACUCGUCCGGCAUGUAUAGUAUAGUGAAGUCAUUUGAUACCUCUGACCUCGCCCGGAUAUCGAAGGGAACUGUUCGUGUACAACUACUCAUUUAUCGGGGUUAGUAUUGGUACAGAUAUCCUUACACCAUCAACAAAACGGAGAUAGGCGUAAAACCGAGGACUUCUUCAUCCAUUCCCUUAUUGUUUGAAUUGUGAGAUAUCCCUCUUAGUUAGUAAAAAGAAUGUACAUCCAUUACCAUUACCUAUCUCCCGAUCAACGCUGAAGGAGAGGAAUGAAUUUAUUAAUGUGAACCUUAUUUCAGUGUUGGUGUUCGCCAUCGACCGAAAGGUCGAAAGGUCUGGGCUAAAAGACGGCUUAGGCAAAACUUCCAUGAGUGUAUAAAUGGUUUUUAACCGGUCUUUCAACGUCUUUUCUCCAUAAUAUAAAGCAUCCAUUUUCCAUCACUAGUCACAAUUUGCUGCAAAAACCGACCACUUUUUGUAGCGCUCAAACAGCAUUUCACACUUGCGAAAUCUUCUUUCUCCGUGUUUUGGUUUCAAUUCAUAAGGCACUCAAUUUACUUGCUGUUUAACGUAAUCGACUGCUUUUACGCAUUUUGGCUGCUAGAGUGACUUCCGGGGACUCUGCGAGCGCUCCUCUUUUGUUUAGCAACUUUAUUAAGUAGUGCUCUCAGAUCCUCAUCCUCAAACUUUUUUGGUCGCUCUGGUGCUUCUUCGACUUCCAAGUCAAAAUCAUCAUUUUUAAAAUCAAACCAUUUUUGAAAAAAAAAAAAUAGAAAAUCUUAACCAUAUUCUUUUCCCAGAAUGCAAAGAUUUUUUGCCAAAAUAUAAAAGCAAUGAAGAAUAACUCCCCGUAAAAUGACUUUGCAAGGCACAAUGUGGAAAUAUUUUACAGAAGAAAAAUUAUUCUUGUUGACAUAUACUAAAAAAGAUUUACAGGAGCAGUAACUUUCCAAUCCUGAUUCGGAAUAUUGGAACAAUGACAUAUCAAUCAAAUUACGUCAUCUCUUGGCAAACCGCACAAAUAUAGUUAUGGACCCAAUAUAUGCAUUGACCCAUUAUGUUUGGAAGCUCUGAAUUCGCGCUUAAUUACAAAUUUUGGUUAGCUUAUAAAAUAGUUGCAGCAUAUUACCGCUUCUCUGUUUUUCUUGCCUGUUCCACAUGAUUACACUCUUCCGGCUAAUAACUUACCGUCACUACUUUCAAUUUUAAAUCAAGUCAUUUAUCAUUUUCAGAAAUCUACUCAGCGCAUGCUUCUACAUUUAUGGAGCUAAUCCAAGGUGGCGACAAGCAGUGUGUGCACACAAAUACUGAAUCGUUAGCAUGAAAAACAUAAAAUGUUUUAUAUUGAAGUCGCAUGAAGUCACAAGGUCACGGUAUGCGAGAUCAGGGCCGCUGGAGAGUACGACAAGAUGAGCAAGCAUACCCAAGAGGGUUGUGGAGCGGUCCCACACAGAGUGGCAACAAAAGAAGCUGACUGAGUCAAAUUUUAUUGCUCGUGGCGCCGCAGAAAUAAUAUAUCAAAAUUUGUAACUAGCAUGAAGUAUGAAAAAGUUGGUACAUUACAAAUAUACAAGUACGGUAGUCAAAACCAGCGACGGCGUCAGUUACACUGCACAGAUUUCCAACAAAUGCACCGUUGCCGACUCGGUAUCUGCUGUGCUGGGAACAAUAUUUUUAGAGUGGGCUCUUUUCUUCAAACGCCUUAUCGAAGACAGUUGUACAUGCGAAAUUAGAUGUGAGCAUUAACCGUGUAUAAAUUUUGAACAAAGCAGCAAGGUAAAUCCUUACCUUGGUGGAGCGGGAUUGGACAGAACCACUCUCUUUUACACAGGAAAUUUCGAAUCGCUUGGAAACGGCAUUAAGAGAAAACGAGGUUCUAUAAGAACCUUGAAACAUUCGAAAAAGUAUUGGUUCUUUCGGUCGCGCCAAUACCGACUCAGUGUUCACAGCCAUCCAAUUGAAGGGUAUGCCUAGGUCUUCAGUGCAGGAUGCAAAACUUAUCUUGAAAGCUCUUGUUCUGUGAAAACUCAGAAAUCAAAGCAAUCGGAGUUCAGAUAGAUUAUAAACUGUUCUAUGAAGUCCGCAAAAGCGUUUAGAGCGGCGGUAAUAAAGAACGCCAAAAGAGUUUCAUGAAGAUCCUUCUGUAAAGGCGAAGAAGGGGAUUACGAAUCCUAAAGGUUUAGGCGCAUUCACGUCAAAACGCUAUUUCCGUGGGUUAUCUUUGAAGUGUGGACGGUGACUGGACUUCGAGCAGCAAGGAAGGGGCCCGCGGACUUUAGAACGGCGAUAUAGCUUUCUUGGAUCUUCUAGACGAGCAUGAUCUCACAUGAGCUUUAAAUUCGUUCAAAUCAUUCAAGUACCGGAACCUGAUGACAUCAUACCUGUGCAACUUCAGCGGACGGUAAAGGUGUCAUUCAGCUAUUUGACCCACAUCUACACGAACUGUGUAUGAUUAGAUCACAUUCCCCGGACGUGGAGACAAGUAAGACUAGUGUAUAAAGUUCCCAUAUGAAUGUUAAAUAUUUCAGGACUAUUAGCAUCUGCUUGUUUUGGUUGAAGACGCUGAAGAGGCUUACGCACCUGCACAUCAGAGGCAGGAUAUCGAAAAAUAUAAUAUUGACACUGCCAUAGCUGGAGCGAUCCCUCAUACAUAAGGAAUAUGCGGUGGGAACAUCAUUGAGGGAGUAUUCAACAGAAUGCGACCGGACGCGCUUAUUAGUUCCCCGGAUAGGUUUGAGGUUGAAACGAUGCUAACGAACGAAUCUCAACCAUAAAAAUAAAACUGAACUGGCUUCAUGUACCAGGAGGAUUGUAAUCUCAAAUUCGCCCUUUUCCUUAUUAAGAGGCUCUCUACCUCACUCUCGAAAAUGUGAAGUACUGGGACCGCAUCUUUGAUAUAAUUGCCAUUGGUUUAAUACUAUUGUUGUAGAGAAGCUAUUGGAAAGCGGUGGGAUCUCUCAACAAAAGUAAUGCUUUUGUUUUACGAAACGGCAGUUAAGCCAAUACUAUCCUAUAGUGUAUUUGUCUAGUGGAGGAUACUUGGUAAAGUCACGCUCGCUAAACUGUUCAACGAGCGGCACUAAUUAGCAUCAGUACUACACUACGAACAACGACAAAUUAGCACUUAAUGUCAUUACACCUAUAGCACCCGUGGAACCUUCUCCUAGCAGCAUCUUCUCCGCGCACAUACCGCCAGAGAUAUGUGGGUUGAGCCGGAGUCACUGGAAAAGAGGCGCAGUGGAUUAAUCGAAUCUCGAGUGAAAGGUUUGAGGGGUUACCUUCUGUCGGAAUCUCUCAAUAAACUAUUGUUUCAGACUUCCGAACCACUUUGGUGUCUUUCAAGCAGAAGUCACAGUCAUCAAGUUAGCAGCAGCUGUACUUCCCCGAAAUGCUUGUUUUUAGGGAGGUAUACAUCCACUCCGAUAACACAGUUUCUAUAUAGUCCUUGGAUUCGCUAACAGUGAAAUAAAAGCUAGUCAAGGAGUGCAUAUCCUCACUUGGAGUAGCAUUUAACUGCGUGCUUGGAAUUGUCAGUAAUUUUAAGGGCUAUGAAAGACGCAAGAGAAAGCACUCUUACUCUAAUGCCAUCAAGAAUCUAUGCGCCUCGCCCGAGUUCAGCAAGAGUUCGUUAUCAACCAGCACUUAUACUGUCGCGAAAGUCUUCUGGCUCAGAACGGAACUUCUAAAAAAUCCAUUGAACCGUCAGCUCUUAGUUAAGCUCAGACCUCCGCAAUGAUAGACGUCCUUACUAGACAUGAUUUUUGAUCUAAACCCAAGAGUUCUGGGCAUCACAGCGGUGUAGCGUUUUUAACAGUCCAAGAGGGAUGUUGGUCUAACGAGUAAUCAGUCUAUCCCCUUAAUCAAAUCUAAUCUAAUCUAAUCUAAUCUAAUCUUAUCUAACCUAACCUAACCUAACCUAAUUUAUUAUCCCAAUCUUCAUAUAUCCAUUAUUCUGCAUUGGUUAAAUCCAUAAAAUUAACGCUUCUACAGUCGCUAAUCCAAUGACAAAUAAGGAUAAAAAAUCAUGCGCUCUCGUUGGCCGAAAAGUAAACAAUGAAAUAAAGCGAUGCGAUUGCUGAUGACAAACUCUUCGCUAAAUUGCAAUUUAAGCCGAAGCAGAAAAAGAGAUGAAAUGGAAAAGCAAUGAAAAGCGACCGCCUGAUUGACAAAGCAACAAAAAAGCCAACACAAAACAACCAACGAAAAGAUUGCAGGUUUAUCCAAGCACACUGACAUACGGGAACAAAUGCACACAUCCGAACACGACAGAAAGGCAGACAUGCGAUAAAGUCAAAGCCGGAGUCAUAUCGAAAGCCAUUCGUUGGAGUAUUUGCCACUUUAACGUGCAUUAAAGUUCACAUUAAUGUGAAGCGAUGCUAUUCGAUGGGCGGGGAGGACGAGGCGACGUUUUAAUGUGGUGCACCGCACUCGAGUGUUGCGCAAAUAAAGCGAUUGCACUAAAAAUCGCUGUAGACAAUUGUCGGUGUGCAAGCGAACGCAUGUACAUGUGUGCGUGUGUGCACAAAUAUUUACACAAUUACAUACGAAAGCGCAUGAAUUGAUGUAUGUAUGUGUGUGCUACUCAUCAGUGCAUUACCACGUCGUUUUUCUAAUUUUACAAAUGCAUAUUUACGUAAGUGUGUGUGUGUAUGAAUUCUAUUUGUGUUUGCUUUGAAAGCAUAGUAAUAGCUUGGAAAAACAUUUGCGGUUGUGAAGCGCAGCGAUUUUCGAUGGUCUUUUGAGCACAACUCUUGAUGCUGUUGACCAAGAGCACUCGUUGGUCGAAAGCGUCUACAAAAGUGGUGAAUGAGUGCAAAGCGAUUACAUUUAAAUUGAUUAUUUGAUAUUAUAUUAUUUAUUCUUUUCUGUUAGCAUUUGAAGCAAAAAUUUUCCAGUUACAAAUAAGUGAUAUGUAGUAGUAAUAUAUUAACCAGAAAUAUAUGAAUACAAUAUCUAGGAAGAUGGUUAGGUAAGGUUAGGUAAAAAUGGCUGAUCGAUGAUCGCACGUAGACUAACAAAUUAGUCCUUUGUGAUGCCAUUAAAAGAAAACUCACGUAUUCGGACUUACAGAUUGCCGAAGCGCUUUGUAGCCAAUA